rnacentral:sRNA from 2 species
AUAUCUCUCCGUACGGGAAGGAUGAGAAGCUUCGACUAAGGUUCGAUUCGAGCGCAGCGAGAAAGCGUUGCCGCAGGCAACGACCCGAAGGGCGAA